UUGACAUCCAGAGAAUUUAGCAGAGAUGCUUUAGUGCCUUCGGGAACUCUGAGACAGGUGCUGCAUGGCUGUCGUCAGCUCGUGUUGUGAAAUGUUGGGUUAAGUCCGCAACGAGCGCAACCCUUAUCCUUUGUUGCCAGCACGUAAUGGUGGGAACUCAAAGGAGACUGCCGGUGAUAAACCGGAGGAAGGUGGGGAUGACGUCAAGUCAUCAUGGCCCUUACGAGUAGGGCUACACACGUGCUACAAUGGCGUAUCAAAGAGAAGCGACCUCGCGAGAGCAAGCGGACCUCAUAAAGUGCGUCGUAGUCCGGAUUGGAGUCUGCAACUCGACUCCAUGAAGCCGGAAUCGCUAGUAAUCGUAAAUCAGAAUGUUACGGUGAAUACGUUCCCGGGCCUUGUACACACCGCCCGUCACACCAUGGGAGUGGGUUGCAAAAGAAGUAGAUAGCUUAACCUUCGGGAGGGCGUUUACCACUUUGUGAUUCAUGACUGGGGUGAAGUCGUAACAAGGUAAGCGUAGUGCU
rnacentral:rRNA from 1 species